rnacentral:rRNA from 1 species
UGCAGUCGAGCGAACAGAUAAGGAGCUUGCUCCUUUGACGUUAGCGGCGGACGGGUGAGUAACACGUGGAUAACCUACCUAUAAGACUGGGAUAACUUCGGGAAACCGGAGCUAAUACCGGAUAACAUAUUGAACCGCAUGGUUCAAUAGUGAAAGGCGGCUUUGCUGUCACUUAUAGAUGGAUCCGCGCCGUAUUAGCUAGUUGGUAAGGUAACGGCUUACCAAGGCAACGAUACGUAGCCGACCUGAGAGGGUGAUCGGCCACACUGGAACUGAGACACGGUCCAGACUCCUACGGGAGGCAGCAGUAGGGAAUCUUCCGCAAUGGGCGAAAGCCUGACGGAGCAACGCCGCGUGAGUGAUGAAGGUCUUCGGAUCGUAAAACUCUGUUAUCAGGGAAGAACAAAUGUGUAAGUAACUGUGCACAUCUUGACGGUACCUGAUCAGAAAGCCACGGCUAACUACGUGCCAGCAGCCGCGGUAAUACGUAGGUGGCAAGCGUUAUCCGGAAUUAUUGGGCGUAAAGCGCGCGUAGGCGGUUUUUUAAGUCUGAUGUGAAAGCCCACGGCUCAACCGUGGAGGGUCAUUGGAAACUGGAAAACUUGAGUGCAGAAGAGGAAAGUGGAAUUCCAUGUGUAGCGGUGAAAUGCGCAGAGAUAUGGAGGAACACCAGUGGCGAAGGCGACUUUCUGGUCUGUAACUGACGCUGAUGUGCGAAAGCGUGGGGAUCAAACAGGAUUAGAUACCCUGGUAGUCCACGCCGUAAACGAUGAGUGCUAAGUGUUAGGGGGUUUCCGCCCCUUAGUGCUGCAGCUAACGCAUUAAGCACUCCGCCUGGGGAGUACGACCGCAAGGUUGAAACUCAAAGGAAUUGACGGGGACCCGCACAAGCGGUGGAGCAUGUGGUUUAAUUCGAAGCAACGCGAAGAACCUUACCAAAUCUUGACAUCCUUUGACCGCUCUAGAGAUAGAGUCUUCCCCUUCGGGGGACAAAGUGACAGGUGGUGCAUGGUUGUCGUCAGCUCGUGUCGUGAGAUGUUGGGUUAAGUCCCGCAACGAGCGCAACCCUUAAGCUUAGUUGCCAUCAUUAAGUUGGGCACUCUAAGUUGACUGCCGGUGACAACCGGAGGAAGGUGGGGAUGACGUAAAUCAUCAUGCCCCUUAUGAUUUGGGCU